rnacentral:lncRNA from 1 species
AUUAUUAAUCUAUUAUUAUUUUUAUUAUUAUUAUUAUUAUUAUUAUUAUUAACUAUUAUAACACAUGCAGAGAGAGUAGGAGAUGUUGAGAGAGAAUACAUGUUUACACACUAUUCUGUAUAUAUAUACGUAUAUAUACAUCUUUUUAUAUAUAUGUAUAUAUAUAUAUAUUCCAAAUAUAUAUAUAUAUAUGCUAUCUAUAUUAUUCAUUGCAACAUAUAUGUAUGUACACGCACUCGUAUGUCUGCUCGUGUAAAUGUAUAUCUUUAAAAGCAGAAGGAUAAAAUAUAUCGAUAUAGGGGCGUACGUAUUUUUUUUUUAAAGGUAUAUACAUUUUGCAUGCACGACCACUCGUGCACGCGUAAUGUCAAUAUAUUAACGUCUAUGUAUACCACAUAUACAUACACUUCCGUACACUAUACACUAAUUUUCUUCAAAUUUCUUUUCUUUCGUUUAUAUUUCUUGAUUUUUUCUUUCGAAAAGUGGGUGUUUAAAAAGAAAAAGGAGAGUAAAACAUAAAGGGUGGGUGAUAAAAUAAUUCAAUCGAGUUAUUGCUCGCAUUUCGCGAUUAAAGAAAAGAAAUAAAUUAAAGAGUUGUUAAUCAUGAAUAAAAAAGAGUGGGAAGGGAAUUGUGGGAGAGAGAAAACGUGUACGGUAGGGUGAGAGUGAAAGAAAAAAAUGUACGAAUGAGAUAGAGGGUAAUUAUAUAGUCUAAAAAUUAGGGAGAUAGGUAUUUUUUUUUUUUUAUUAUCCGAAUAAAUUAUAAUCAAAAGAAUCAUCUUUUUCGAAUGAAUUUAUGUCUCGAUAUAACGAAUAGAUUUUCAUUUUUUUGUACAGAUAUAUUUAAUCAAUUUGUGUAUCGAUAUCUUAACGAUAGUUUUUCUUUUUUUUUUUUUUUUUUCUUUUAGCUUUUAGUUCAUUUUAUAAUUAAACUAUUUUUUUGAGACUGAACGUAAUCGUAUCUCCCUAAAAUCGAUAUUUACGUGAUAUGUGGUACGCAUCGUUCAACUGGAUAAUAUCCAAUCGGAUAAUGAUUAUUCAACCGUAUGGAGCAUUAAUCGAUUUGUCAUCGUUGCGUUAAUGAACUACGAUGCCGAUUCAUUGAGAUACAAUACUUGAAAAUACGUAUAUAUGUGUAUGUAUACAUGCGCAGCAUUGUUUAUGAACAUGGGGAUCAUCAAUUUUGCAUGCAUAGUUCAAAGUUGAUAAGCAAAGUUCGGCAAACGCUACAUAUAGAAGGAUGUAUGAUUUUUUUGUGUAAUUUGGUAUUUUUUCUUGCCAUUAUUUUCGUUAUCAUUGCUUUUAUUAUUAUUAUACUUCUUAAUUUCUACUCCAUGAUCAGUUCGUAUCGCUAAUGUCUCUUCUAUACUUUUACUUUAAUCAUUAUUAUUCAUUUGUUGCAAUAUUUUAACCAUUCUGUUACGUAUUUUUACUUUUCUUGCUCUGCCACUAUUUUUCUAAAACAGGAGUUAUAUAUUUUAGGCAUUAAAAACUAAAAUUUCGUGACAGUAAAUUCGAAAGAUUAAUUCUCGAGGAAAUAAAUCGUUCCUCGUCACAUUUGCAUUCGCACGAUCGCCACGUUCUUCUGAAUAUCGUAUCAUUUACUUCCCCGUAAAGUGAUAAGUCGAGGGUCAUUAGAAUAGUCGUAAAAUCAUGUUAACAAAACUCGAGUUGUUAGCAGACAAUGGGGCGAUUUUCACGCAAAUUUUCUUUAUUCUCGAAUGUCACACGAUGAAAAAGUUGCUAGCAAUUUCUUUAAUCAACCACCGUUUCGACACGAUUUUACUCGCAGGCGUCAAUCUCUUUAGGAUACUUCUUAGAGUUAAAAGAAAAGGAAAAAAAAAAAAAAAUGAAACGCGGGAAGAUACGCGCGUGCGCGAGAUAGAUGGAAAGUGAAACAAACUGAACAUGGUUUUUAAUCGUCCGUAGGGAUUUGUCGAAUAUACCUCAUUGUAAUUAAUAAACCGUGAUUUUUCAACGAGGCACCAACUGCUUCUUCUUUGUUCCUGGAGUUCCUAAACGUGUCGGUCCUUUCGUAAAUAAGUCGGUCCUUUGCUCGUUAGCUGAUAUCACAGGCAACCAGGUAGUCGAUUCUCAUCGACAUUAAGUUACGUGUUAGAUACUUAAAUCGUAUUAUUGCCCUAAUCAUGUAAAAAGAAUUUAUUAUUAUCCGCUAAGGGGUUAACGUGUUAAUGGAGGUUUUUCACGCUAUAGUUAAGCACAUACACACGCAUACACAAAUCGUGCGCAUCCAUUCGACAACCCUUUCUAUGAUACUGAUACUUCUGCGAUCGUGAGUUACUAAACGAAUCAAAAAAAGGAAUUAAUCUAAUAGCGUAUAGCAAUUUUGUAUAACGGUCGAAUUUAAAGUUUUAAUCGGUCCACAGAUCAUUAACGCUUAACGUCCAUUUCUCAGAUCACGCGUAGUUGUAUUGUAGGUUUAGCCUUCUUUCUUAUUUUCUCCUUAUUUUUCUUUUUUCUUUUUUAAAUUUUAAGUCAUCUGAGAGAUCGAUGUUACGGGUUAAGGACAGGACGUUUCACGACUGAAAUUUUGAACGAUUUAAAAAAAAAAAAAAAAAAAAAAAAAAAAAAAAAAAAGAAAAAAGAAAAAAAAAAUCACGUUUCGCCUUGAUCUUUCACUCAUUGUUUGCAGUAUCGGCCGUUCGCGCGGCAAAUUGUUUAAAGAAACGGCGAGGAUCUUAACCGUAGCUCACGUUUCACAACCGUUCAUUUUUUAAAUAAGUCAACCUCUAAGCUAUUCGGGACCCGAAAGAAACAAUUUUCAAUUAAGUAAUAGUUAAUUAAUAAUCGUAAUUAUUCAUAGAGAUAUCGUGGACGGGCAGAAGUACAACGUAAGAAAACGACUGAAUCGAAGGGGUUGAAAAUCGGAUGCGAAGAGGAAUGAUAGAUGAAUAGAAGGUUGGUGUAGAACUUUUCGAUUAAGAAAGAACCAUGAACGAAGCCUUACAACCAACAAAAAAAAAAAAUAAUAAUAAUAAUAAAAAAACGAUACUCUUUUACUCUUUGUAUAGAAAUCUACUGGUUAAAUAUAUAUUUAGACGGUACGUCCACACGCAAAUCAGAAAUACAAAACUUGUUAGAUUGUUAUUACGGAUAUUAAUCGAUUAAUUGAUUAAUUAAUUAAGGGAUUUAACGUAAUGGUUAAUUAAACGAGUACAACCUCGUUCUCGAGUUGGUACGCAGACGUAUCUUUGUAUGUAUCAAAAUGAAUUAUUCGUGUCGGAAUAAGUUCACCCUUGCAUUUAGCAUUCGCCGUGGCGUGAAUGUCGCCAAAAAUGAUGAACGUGACUAUCGUGCGACGAGAAUAUCGACGAUAUUUAAAUAAAUGUCCGUAAAUGUGACGGGAUCGAAGACUUUUUUCUUUUCUUUUUUAGGGAAUAGACAUACACGAUUCAUCGAAACACAGAUCUCGAAUAAAGAAAGAAGAUGGAAAUACGAUGUGUAAAAUUUAAUUAGAUCAGAUUUAUUCUUAUUAGAGAGACAAGUUAAUAAUACAACGUACCCGAAGUUCGACUAUAUAAAAAUCGACGUACGAAUCGAGAUUCGGUAAACACGAUAGUAUUUAACGAGUCCUAUAUUGCGCAUGCACUAAUACUUUUAUCAUAGAAUUAACUGUUUGUACUUUAACGAGUAAUAUUUAAUAAUAUCUCGAUGUGCAUCUAUCAUAUACGUACGUGUACGAAUAGAAAAGAAAAAAAGAAGAAGAAGGAAGGAGGAGUCGCGAACAUGAAUAAGAAGUCGCGUAUAUAUAAUUGAUGAUAACAUGAAAAAUCGACCAGAAAUAUAUCAGGGCUGGCUGGUGGUUGGAACGAAUUUUCGAUAACUUCGUAUUAUAAAUCCGUGUUCAAGAUUCCUUAUAUUUUAUUUGCUAAGAUUAAUUAAUUUUAAUGAUGAAAAUUAGUUGUUCAAUGAUAUAUAUGUAUAUAUAUAUAUAUAUAUAUAGUUGUUAUAUCCUGAGUCAUGACUGAAUUUUAAGAAGAGUAACUAGUUUGAAAAAAAUAAAGGCUGAAACGAAUGAAAUUGAUUUUGCUCAUUCCAAGAAUGUCGAGUCCCCUGAAACGGUCCUAAUAAGACUGAAAAACUCUUGGACAAAAAUGAAAAAUAAUCAAAAAAUUAAAAAAAAAGAAAAGAAAAAAAAGAAAAAGAAGAUAUAAAAGAAUAUCAUACGUGAAAUAAAUAAAUAGUAAAUAAUGUGUUGUAUCGUAAAUCGAUUCUAUGGUAAGUCUUAAGUUUCGUGUUAAAAAAAAAACAAAAAAAAAAAAAANNNNNNNNNNNNNNCUCUUUGCUUAUUUAAUCGUUACGGUACUUUUUCGCUGAGCAAAAUACGUCCAACGACCACUGCCCUUUAAAAGGAAAAAAAAGUUUAAGCAAAGAGAGGACCCUUUUUCGCGUAGAUUAAAAAAAAAACCCUUUGAUCAAAAUUCUCCGAAUGUAUAUCAAAGAAAAUGGAGGGCAAGGGUUCUUCGCAUCCAAGAGGAUGAAAGAAGAAGGAAAAGAAAAUAAGAAGGGAGGAUCGUGAAUCAAUGUUUCUUAAAUGAGAAGAAAAACGCUUCUGCUUUUUAUUCUACGAACGAUAUAUCGAUUUGGAAAUAUUGUCGUGUCACUUUAGGCUUAGGUUUAUUAACAAGGUGGUGAAACAAAAGGGAGGGAGGGAGGGAGAGAUAAAAGUUUGAGAUGAAACUAGAUAAAAAAAGAUAAAAAAAGUGUCAAAGUACUGCUACGAUUUAUCAAACUAUUUACUAUUUACGACUAGUAACACUUAAAUAAACGAGGAACUGUACUGUUAUUGUUAUUAUUUUUUAUUGUAAUUAAUUAAUUAUCAUGGAUUACAAGCAAUGGCUUUACUAUUUUCUCGAAUAAAUAUCUAUAUCUACAGCUUCUCGAGCGCGUAUCAGCGUAGUUUAAGUUUAUAUGAGAAAAAAGAGAGAGAGAGAGAGAGAGAGAGAGAGUCUUGCGUUUAAUUGAUUAUCUAAUAGUGAGAAUGAAAGAAGGAAACGAGGAAUUUUCAGAAAAUGAGAUGUCGAGAGAGGUAGGAAUUGAGAGAGCGAAUAAGCGAAUGAGAGAAGUAAUUUAAUAGAUGUUCUAAGAAAGAAAGGGAAUGAACGAACGGGGGAACGAAUCAUUUUGAAAGAGAGAGAGAGAGAGAAAGAGAGAGAGAGAAAAUGUGGACAAAUCAGAGAUGUAAAAAAAAAAAAGAAAGAAAGAAAGAAAGAGAAGAUGAAGAAUAAGACGGACUUACUAACGUAACAAAUAGGAGAAGACAGACGGGUAGUUAAGAUAAAUAAGAGUUUUAGUAAUGAAUUUAAACAGAGAAUUAUUAUAUUUAACGCGCGAGGUGCUGAUGACGACCGAGACCCGUGCACAUUACACAUAAACUCCUCGAAAUAUUAAUUAGAGAUGGAUGCCGUUUUUAAGAUUAUUAUCGACUAUCAUGUUUAUUAUAUUAAAUAAUAGUUAAAGGCUAUCUAACGUUUAACGGUCUAGUUUACUUGAUAAAGGAUUAAAGGGAUUAAACUUUACCUCCGCCUAAGGAUUAGAUUGUAUGAGUCGAUUAAAGAAAAUAAUAAGAAAGAAAAAAAAAAAAUCAUAAGACAAAAAAUAGUAGCUGAUUAAGAGCGAAACGAAAAUAAGCUAAGUAACUAAUGAAAUAGAAUUUCACGGGGAGGGGGGUUGAUCGAUAAAUACUCGAAAGUACACCAAAAGUGCUACCAGGGGAACGGGAAUCGAUUAUUCGAGAUAUAAGGAAUCGUGUUAUAGUCCUAAGAAAGAAGAACAGACAAUUUGUUUCGUCUUCUAAGUUUUUUAUCGUCUCGCAGAGACAAGAUUUAUAUAUUUCUAUUCCUCUUCGAUUCUUUUU